UAAGAAAAACCGAACACAGCGCAAAAGAAAUCCUGUAGAAGUCGGAGAGCGAUAACUGUUAUGCGUGUCUUAGAGUCUGCCUGCUUCCUCUCUCUAUUCUCUUUUCUGAAGUGGCGACAGGCAGGAAACAUAUAGUGAUAAAGCUGACUUGACUGACUGGCCUACACAGUCUAACAAGAGAUUGAUGGCUCCUCCCUCCAACACAGGCCCGAGCAUGUGUCCCCACCUACUUCCCUUUUCUUGAUAGAGUAAUUCACUGAGGUCAUUUACCGGUAGACACUCUGCUUCCUAACUUGGCCUCAGGCACCAAACUACUAACAUACCUGAGAUCAUCACUGAAAAGUCCCAGAUAACAAGUUUAGCAGGCGGACGUGCUGACAUAUCGUGGCGGAAAAAGGCUCAAAUGAGACAUACAAAUUCCUUAGGGAGAAGUGUUUCAAAAAAACAAAAGUCACUGUGACGUUUUACAAGGGUAAAGAUACAAGCGGGAUUUCACAGGAACGGCUUGAAAUCACAGCGCAAUACUGUUGCUCUGUAAUCUAACAAAGCCCAGAGUGAGCUAAUGCUGCUCUGUCACGUGUGUGGCCGUUUACAGUGUCAACACGGUGGGGUUGAUGCCCAGCGAGUUUUCAGUUCAGUAACACAAGAAAGACACAAUUCCUAGAAGGUGUUGAUAUAACGUACGGAAGGAUAUGGUUACAGUGAAAACACGCUUCGUGUUUUCUCAUUGUGCCUCAUUUUCCAUGAUGAGUGAACAGAAGGUUGGAGAGACGGCGGCGCUUUCGGAGUUGAAGUGACCACACAUAUGCCGUUUUUGCAGUGUACGUGUUGUAUAACAUGGGAAAGAAGCGGAAAUUCAGGCAGCACAAGCCUUUCCAAGGAAUACAGUCAACUGUACCAUUCACAGACACCAGGAACUCAGAAGUCUGGUAUGCAAAACUAACACUACCCAAACUUUUUUUUUUUUAUCAUGAUGUAUCAGACAUUAUCACAGUUCUGACUUUGCAAGUGCGUCAAUGUGGCUAAGAGCAAUUUACAUUUUGCAGACACAAUGCAAAUGGGCACAAGGUCAGUACUUACUACAUGAUAAUAUUACUGUAAUGGUGUUAGAUCUAGGUUUGAAGCUGUGUAAUGAUCAUGUUUUAUCUAAAUCUUGUGUUAAUUUUGGCUUGACAGACAUGAAGCUGUGGCGGCUUCGUUGAUGGGAGGCUGAAUAGGACUUGUUGUUUCAGUGGAUACAACAGACACUGACACAAAGAGACACAAGUGCUCAUUGUGUGCUAAGACAGUUAUUAAAAGCAUUGCACUAUUGAAGUGACAAAUUUUUUAAAGAUCGAAUGUUCCUUUGUGCACCUCUCGAACUCCAUUUUAACAAUGUUACAGUUCCUAUCAUCUGCAAACCUGACACACUAGACACAUGAUUUACCACAAAUCCAGCUGUACAUGAUGGCCCUGAAACUAACUGUUGCAAAUGAUCAUUUAUUUAUGAUUUACAGCAUUUGAUCUCACAAAUGCAAUUUAAAAACAAUUGAAG